rnacentral:rRNA from 1 species
GUGGGGAAUAUUGGACAAUGGGGGGAACCCUGAUCCAGCCAUGCCGCGUGUGUGAAGAAGGCCUUUUGGUUGUAAAGCACUUUAAGCGAGGAGGAGGCUACCGAGAUUAAUACUCUUGGAUAGUGGACGUUACUCGCAGAAUAAGCACCGGCUAACUCUGUGCCAGCAGCCGCGGUAAUACAGAGGGUGCAAGCGUUAAUCGGAUUUACUGGGCGUAAAGCGCGCGUAGGUGGCCAAUUAAGUCAAAUGUGAAAUCCCCGAGCUUAACUUGGGAAUUGCAUUCGAUACUGGUUGGCUAGAGUAUGGGAGAGGAUGGUAGAAUUCCAGGUGUAGCGGUGAAAUGCGUAGAGAUCUGGAGGAAUACCGAUGGCGAAGGCAGCCAUCUGGCCUAAUACUGACACUGAGGUGCGAAAGCGUGGGGAGCAAACAGGAUUAGAUACCCGGGUAGUCC